ACGCUCGACACCUACGGGAGGCAGCAGUGGGGAAUAUUGGGCAAUGGGCGCAAGCCUGACCCAGCAACGCCGCGUGAAGGAAGAAGGCCCUCGGGUUGUAAACUUCUUUUGUCAGGGACGAAGCAAGUGACGGUACCUGACGAAUAAGCCACGGCUAACUACGUGUCAGCAGCCGCGGUAAUCUGAGCGGGCUGGCAAGGC
rnacentral:rRNA from 1 species